rnacentral:tRNA from 1 species
GGUUGUAUAGUCUAGUGGUUAGGACGUCGGAUUUUGAUUCCGGACACCUGGGUUCGAACCCCAGUACGACCU